CUCUGGGAUAAGCGUUGGAAACGACGUCUAAUACUGGAUAUGAUCACUGGCCGCAUGGUCUGGUGGUGGAAAGAUUUUUUGGUUGGGGAUGGACUCGCGGCCUAUCAGCUUGUUGGUGAGGUAAUGGCUCACCAAGGCGACGACGGGUAGCCGGCCUGAGAGGGUGACCGGCCACACUGGGACUGAGACACGGCCCAGACUCCUACGGGAGGCAGCAGUGGGGAAUAUUGCACAAUGGGCGAAAGCCUGAUGCAGCAACGCCGCGUGGGGGAUGACGGCCUUCGGGUUGUAAACCUCUUUUAGUAGGGAAGAAGCGAAAGUGACGGUACCUGCAGAAAAAGCACCGGCUAACUACGUGCCAGCAGCCGCGGUAAUACGUAGGGUGCAAGCGUUGUCCGGAAUUAUUGGGCGUAAAGAGCUCGUAGGCGGUUUGUCGCGUCUGCUGUGAAAUCCCGAGGCUCAACCUCGGGCUUGCAGUGGGUACGGGCAGACUAGAGUGCGGUAGGGGAGAUUGGAAUUCCUGGUGUAGCGGUGGAAUGCGCAGAUAUCAGGAGGAACACCGAUGGCGAAGGCAGAUCUCUGGGCCGUAACUGACGCUGAGGAGCGAAAGCGUGGGGAGCGAACAGGAUUAGAUACCCUGGUAGUCCACGCCGUAAACGUUGGGCGCUAGAUGUAGGGACCUUUCCACGGUUUCUGUGUCGUAGCUAACGCAUUAAGCGCCCCG
rnacentral:rRNA from 1 species